rnacentral:rRNA from 1 species
UCGGGAAUAUUGGUCAAUGGGGGAAACCCUGAACCAGCAAUGCCGCGUGAGUGAUGAAGGUUUUCGGAUCGUAAAGCUCUGUCUUUGGGGACGCGGUACCCGAGGAGGAAGCCCCGGCUAACUACGUGCCAGCAGCCGCGGUAAUACGUAGGGGGCGAGCGUUGUCCGGAAUUACUGGGCGUAAAGGGCGAGUAGGCGGUUUAAUAAGUAGAUGUGAAAUACUGAGGCUUAACCUCAGGGCUGCAUUUGAAACUAUUAGACUUGAGUGCAGGAGAGGAAAGUGAAUUCCCAGUGUAGCGGUGAAAUGCGUAGAUAUUGGGGGAACACCAGUGGCGAAGGCGACUUUCUGGACUGUAACUGACGCUGAGGCGCGAAAGCGUGGGGAGCAAACAGGAUUAGAUACCCCAGUAGU